rnacentral:rRNA from 1 species
UACAGAGGGUGCAAGCGUUAAUCGGAAUUACUGGGCGUAAAGCGUGCGCAGGCGGUCUGCUAAGACAGGUGUGAAAUCCCCGGGCUUAACCUGGGAACUGCGCUUGUUACUGGCAGGCUGGAGUGUGGCAGAGGGGGGUGGAAUUCCACGUGUAGCAGUGAAAUGCGUAGAGAUGUGGAGGAACACCGAUGGCGAAGGCAGCCCCCUGGGCUAACACUGACGCUCAUGCACGAAAGCGUGGGGAGCAAACAGG